AGAUUGGUCAUCUGGUUUGUCUUCAGGCGUUAUAGCAGGAAUUUGUGUUGUUGUUCUCGGUGUUGUUGCUGCUGCUGCUGUUGUUGGUUUUAUCAUUUACCGCAAAUCUUUUAAGGCUAAUGGGGAGUACAGGCCCACCUCAGGCCCCGUUUGAUUCAAACACUGAUUUACAUGGACCACUUCAUCAAAGAAAUGAGCGGGAAGGUGUAGGCCCCUCCAUAAACAAUGAAGAGACAGGAGAAGAGUCAACAGAGAUGAACAAACCAUUGAGGACUGAAGAUCCCAGCAGCAGUGAUGUUCCUUAAAAGUGUAAUAUCAUCAAUAUUACAAACACAUCAACAUUAUUGAAUUAUAACAUCACUCUCAUUUCAAUGACUUUAAAACCUGUCUGCCUGUAUGCUGAUGAGGAACUGAAAUGGAAGAAAAGCUCAAGACUACUGAAAAACUAAAAAAAUAUAAAGUCAAGUUUAUAGAGUACUUAACAGACACUGUAUACAAUGUACACUAUAUACACACAUGCAUUAACCUUACCUCAUAAUAGAUGAUAUACUACACUGGAAAGACUUUGAAUGUACUAUUUGCUGUUUCAUGCUCAUAUCUGCGUAGCUAUGAUAACUCUGUAUAAUUGCAAUGUAACAGCCUGAAUAAACACAGAUGCAAAUGUAACUAGCAUUACAAAAUGCAAGCUGCCUUAACAUUUUCUUUAAAAUAAGUUUUGACAAUCUGGUGCUACUACUUUGAUAUGUGUGAGAUGGCUUUGUUUAAUUUAAAGAUUUGAUUUAAAAAGUAAAUAAUAACUUUCUUUACACCAGGAGUGGGGAACCCUGGGUCCUGGAGGGCCACUGUCCUGCAGAGUUUAGUUCCAACGCUAAUCAAACACACCUGAAUUUAAUUUCCAAGUGAUCGUGAACAUAGAUAUAAAGGCUAGAUGGCUCGUCCGCGCUGCUGGCCAAUUGAGUGCAACGUCCGCAUUUUGGCGGCCAUCUUAGGACAGGGCGCUCGCUCACUCGUAGCAUUGAGUUUUAAUGAUGCAGGUACUUUUAAAUGACCAUAACUUGCUUAAUUUUUUACCGAUUUUCAAACGGUUUGGUUUGUUAUAAACGUCAAAGAUGUACCUAUGACACUGCAUACCUAUACUAAAAAUAAAAAAUAAAUUCAUGAAACAUGUUAAAGCAUCCAGAAUUAUAGCCACGUUAAUAACGUUUGUAAAAACCCAAACCGUUUGAAAAUCGGUAGAAAAUUGAGCAAGUUAUGGUAAUUUAAAAGUACCUGCACCAUUAAACUCAAUGCUACGAGUGAGCGAGCGCCCUGUCGUAAGAUGGCCGCCAGGUGAUGCCGUUAGGGACUCCGCCUUGAGCCAUCUAGCCUUUAUACAUAUCUAUGAUCGUGAAGACUUGAAUUCGAUUUUUCAGGUGUGUUUAAUUAGGGUUGGAACAAAACUCUGCAGGACAGUGGCCCUCCAGGACCAGGGUUCCCCACCCCUGCUUUACACCAACUCUAAGCUAUGUUUUUAUUAUUUGGGUACAGUUUUUAGUUUUAAACAACUUUAAAAGAAUUAUUACGGUACUUGUAUUUUCUCAAUCAUUGAAGCACUUUGUAAAUUAAAAUUUAAAGUCCGGGGUUUUUUUUGUGUGUUUUUUCUUUCUUUUAUUUUGUGAAUGUAAAAACUGUUUAACAGAUCACUUGAGAUGACUGAACCUCAAUUAAAUCUCUGUUCUGAUCUCAGUGUGUACUUUUUUGAACAGUGUGUUUGUUGGCAUUAAUUCAUUUGUUAUAUUAAUUGUGUGUUAAAAAUAAAAGCUGGGUUAAGUGAA